GUUGCGGACAGCGCUAGGUCGG
rnacentral:miRNA from 1 species